rnacentral:rRNA from 1 species
GAUCAUGGCUCAGAUUGAACGCUGGCGGCAGGCCUAACACAUGCAAGUCGAACGGUAACAGAAAGCAGCUUGCUGCUUUGCUGACGAGUGGCGGACGGGUGAGUAAUGUCUGGGAAACUGCCCGAUGGAGGUGGAUAACUACUGGAAACGGUAGCUAAUACCGCAUAACGUCGCAAGACCAAAGGAGGGGGACCUUCGGCCGUCUUGCCAUCGGAUGUGCCCAGAUGGGAGUUAG